CUUAAAGAAGAAAAAAAAAACGGGGUCGGGUCAUCUAUAAAUAUGAAAUUUUCUGCCUGAGAAGGAAAGCAAUAUUCUGAAAGUUGUUGGGUUAACUUACUGAAGAUCGCUUCCAUUUCCUUAAAAAUACCCUUCGCACUAAAAGUAAUACGUACUGGUGCAAAGCGCGCGGUGCAUGUCGAGCGCCUUCGCGGGCGCCGACGCAGCCGAUGCGCGACCCUUAGUCGAGAACAGUGUCGGUCGGGGAGUUUGACUGGGGCGGUACGUCUGUCAAACGGUAACGCAGGUGUCCCAAGGCGAGCUCAGCGUGAACGGAAACCACACGUCGAGCAAAAGGGCAAAAGCUCGCUCGAUCUCGAUUUUCAGUACGAAUACGGAUCGCGAAAGCGUGGCCCAUCGAUCCUUUCCGAAUAACANNNNNNNNNNGCGACGUCGCUUUUUGAUCCUUCGAUGUCGGCUCUUCCUAUCAUUGCGAAGCAGAAUUCGCAAAGCGUUGGAUUGUUCACCCACUAACAGGGAACGUGAGCUGGGUUUAGACCGUCGUGAGACAGGUUAGUUUUAUUCUACCGAUGCAUCGCGCGUACGCGGCGCCUCGAGUCGCGCGCGGUCGGGGGUUCGGUGCGUAGCGGCGCACUUCGGUGCGCUUCCGCAGCCGACGCUCUCACCCCGCGGCCUUAGGCGGGCGCCGGCAACGUCAACUCGGCUACGGCUAUCCCGUCCAGUACGAGGAGAACCGCGGGAUCAGAGCAACGGUUUGCGCGCUCGCUCGAUAGAGCGGUGGUGCCAAGCUGCCUCUGAGCGAUAACGGCUGAGUAAUACAUAUUUAAUUCAAGAGAGCAUCAAAACGCCAAAUAGGAAUCAUUAUGCAGUGACGAAAAAACAAUAUUAAUCAUUAACUAAUAUUAUAUUAAAUAUAAGGGCAGCGAGAAUUCCGCCGUAGUCGACAUUGCCUUUCAUCAAUCGGAGUCGAUAAAAUAAGUACCAGUUGAGUACAGGAAUUUAUGUAAUCGACUUAACUCCUACUCCCAAACUUGCUGGCCUGGUGCCAAAAUUUGAAACCAACAUUAUAUUAAUUAUUUC
rnacentral:rRNA from 1 species